rnacentral:misc_RNA from 1 species
GUUAGUCUAUGGGGCUCCUUCAUACCAGAACUGUCUUAAUUUGAUGGUAUACUUGUGCUUUGCAUAGUAAGUUUCCAUAUUCCUCUGUAGUAACCCCACCAACAUCUGUUUUGUCUUCACCUACAGUAAUGUGGUUGGACUAUCCAAUGUUUUCCUUGGGUCACUUGCCGCCAUUUUUCUUCUGUGUGCCAUGAGUGGUUUUCUGAGUGUUUCCCUGUACAAAUAACUAAAUAUAAAUUGACCAUUAUUUUUAUCUGAGAUAAACUGAAUCACGCCCAAUCAUCAUUGUCUAUAAACA